CUUAAAACAUUUUGCUGCCUGAGAAAUCCCUCUAUCAAGUAUGACGAAAUUAUACCAAAUAUAAAUUUAAAGCUGUUCAAAGGAUAAACAACGAGUUUGUAGUCCUUUAUUAAAGCAAAGGAAGGAUUAGAGAAUAUUAAUAAUCACAUUAAGAAACUUGUGACCUGGUUCAAUCCUGAGCUCGGGUUACCGUGUGUGUAGAGUCCCCCAUGUUCUCGGUGUGUCCGUACGGGUUCCCUUCAAUUCUCUGCUUUCCUCCUAUCUCCAAAACAACAUGGACGUAUGCAGACUGACGAUGUUAAAUUACCCCUGGGUGUGAGUGGGUGUGUGAAUGUGUGGCCUUGGACCGGCGUUCCAUCCAGGGUGUAUUCCCACCUCACACAAAGUGUUUGUAGGAUAGACUCCGCCUCCACCAGGAUAAAGCAGAUCCUGAGGAUGAAUGAAUGAAAACUCUAAAGAUCACACUACAUAAAUCUACUUCAUUCCCAGUGUUCCUGGGAUAAGGAUCUGGAUCCAGCGAUAUCCUGACCAGGAUGAAGUGCUUGCUGAAAAUGAAUGAAUGAAUAAAUGACUGGCGUCUCAUUUAAGAGGGAAACACAGUCAAUGGAUGGACCUGAUCCAAGACCAACACUGGCUUGCCAGGAAAUUGAAUGAUUCACCGUCGUUUACGAACCUGGUCAUUUUCUACUGACCAUAAAUCAGACGUAUCGUUUAAAG
ensembl:lncRNA